GCCACAGUGGGUAACAGCCCCGUAGCCGAAAAUCGCUUCCCUCCUGAGUGGAUCCUGAGUACGGCGGAACACGUGAAAUUCCGUCGGAAUCCGGGAGGACCAUCUCCCAAGGCUAAAUACUCCCUAGUGACCGAUAGUGAACCAGUACCGUGAGGGAAAGGUGAAAAGCACCCCGGGAGGGGAGUGAAAUAGAACCUGAAACCGUGUGCCUACAACAAGUUCGAGCCCGUUAAUGGGUGAGAGCGUGCCUUUUGUAGAAUGAACCGGCGAGUUACGAUUGCAUGCAAGGUUAAGG
rnacentral:rRNA from 1 species